rnacentral:rRNA from 1 species
AUUGAACGCUGGCGGCAGGCUUAACACAUGCAAGUCGAGCGGUAGCACAAGAGAGCUUGCUCUCUGGGUGACGAGCGGCGGACGGGUGAGUAAUGUCUGGGAAACUGCCUGAUGGAGGGGGAUAACUACUGGAAACGGUAGCUAAUACCGCAUAACGUCGCAAGACCAAAGAGGGGGACCUUCGGGCCUCUUGCCAUCAGAUGUGCCCAGAUGGGAUUAGCUAGUAGGUGGGGUAAUGGCUCACCUAGGCGACGAUCCCUAGCUGGUCUGAGGGGAUGACCAGCCACACUGGAACUGAGACACGGUCCAGACUCCUACGGGAGGCAGCAGUGGGGAAUAUUGCACAAUGGGCGCAAGCCUGAUGCAGCCAUGCCGCGUGUGUGAAGAAGGCCUUCGGGUUGUAAAGCACUUUCAGCGAGGAGGAAGGUGGUGAACUUAAUACGUUCAUCAAUUGACGUUACUCGCAGAAGAAGCACCGGCUAACUCCGUG